AUGAAAUUGACAUCAUUUUUUGCAUAUAAACAUAUAUAUGAGUGUUUGGGGGAUAGCUUGGUAUCUGAGUUUAAAAACGUAAUGACUCGAAAUAAGGCGUUAGGAUAAAUGUUAUGUUCGGUGAUCGCUUUUUUUUAUUACUACAAAAUUUAGUAGUAUAAAGUAUGCUAAUGAAUUGAAACAUCUUAGUAGUUAGUAGAAUAGAAAUCAACCGAGAUUUUGUUAGUAGUGGUGAGCGAAAACAAAGAUAGAAUAUAGUAAGGAAUAUGCUUUAUUAGAAUAUUCAAUGGAUAAAGAUAGCGUAACAAGGUGAGAGUCCUGUAUAAGGGGCAUCUUUUUUAAGAAAAAGUAAAACAAUUUAGGAGGAUAUUGUUUGAAUAUAGGAAACCCACUUUCUAAUUCUAAAUAUGCUCAGAUAACCGAUAGAGAAAAGUAUCGUGAGAGAAAAGCUGAAAAGCACUCCUGGAAGGAGGGUUAAUGAAUCUGAAACUGAACACUCAAGAAGCAUCUGAAGUAUUUUUUUAAUAUAACAGUAUACCUUUUGCAUAAUGGGUCAGCGAGUAUAUUUAUUAUGCAAGCGUAAGUUAUUAAACGAACGCGUAGUUAAUACGUAGAGUAUGUAGUAUAAUGUAUAUGACCCGAAGCUGAAUGAUCUAACCAUGACCAAGUUGAAAAUAUAUUAAUAGUAUGUUGGAGGACUGAACCCGUGUAUGUUGCAUUAUACUGGGAUGAGUUGUGGUUAGGGGUGAAAGGCCAUUCAAAUUCAGUAUAGCUGGUUUUCUGCGAAAUCUAUUGAAGUAGAGUGUAGUAAUAACAACAUAAGAUGUAGAGCACUAAAUAAUUAAUGGGGAUCGGUGAUUUUACUGCAAUUAUUUAAACUUCCAAGUAUUAUGAUUUGAUUUACUACAACCGGAAUGUAGGCGAUAAGGUUUAUAUUCGAGAGGGAAACAGCCCAGAUUAUAAAUUAAGGUUAUUUAAAAUUAUUUUAGUGUAGGAUACGUUACAGUAUUCAAUUAGGAUGUAGGCUUGGAAGCAGCCAUCAUUUAAAGAUAGCGUAAAAGCUCACUAAUUUAAUUUUUUUAUUGUAGCGUUGUAAAUGUAUAGUAUCUCAAAAUAAUUACCGAAAUUAUAAUAUAAUAAUAUAUAUAAGUAGUAGAAUGUUUUGUAUUUUGUAGAAGAAAAAUAAAAAAUAUUUUUUGGAGAAAUCAAAAUUACUUAUGUUGAUAUGAGUAACAACAAACAAUGUGUGAAACAUUGUCGCCGAAAAUCCAAGGGUUUUUAAUUUAAAAUGGAUUAGCCAAAUAAAGUUAUUCGGUCUCUAAGAACAAAACUGAUGUUUCGUUUGAUGAGAUUCUCAAGAAGGAGUUUUUAAUUUGUUUGACGCUUUUUCAUAGAAACUAUUUUUGUUUAUGAAUACUAGAUAUUUUUUGUGAAAGAGUCAGGAAAAUGAUGAUUUUUACUACUAUUAGAUUAAUAAUAAUUACCGUACUCUAAACUGACACAGGUGGAUUCGUAGAGUAUACGCAGGCGAUUGGAAGAAUGAUGUUGAAGGAACUCGGCAAAAUGACUCUGUAACUUAGGGAGAAAGAGUUUUGUUUACAGUAGCUGUAAACAAAGGCAGAAAGCAGAGAAGAGCGACUGUUUAGCAAAAACACAGGAUUCUGCAAAAUCGAAAUGAUGAAGUAUUGAAUCUGACUCCUGCCCUGUGCUAAUGAAUAAAAAAAGUUGUUAGUAGCAAUUUUUAUAACAGUUAGUUAACGGCGGCUGUAUCUCUGACGGUCCGAAGGUAGCGAAAUUCCUUGUCUGUUAAUUGCAGACCUUGCAUGAAUGGAGUAACGACUCUUCUACUGUCUCCAGCAUCAUUCCAGUGAAAUUGAAUUUUCUGUGAAAAUGCAGAGUAUUGAUAGCUAGACGGAAAGACCCCAUGCAGCUUUACUAUAAUUAUGUACAGAAUUUAUUAAGUAGUUUAUGUAGGAUAGGUGGGAGUUUAUGGUAAAUGGGUAUUUUUGUAUUCAUUUAAGUAAAAACAAUCUUGAAAUACCAUUUUGACUUUUGGUAAUUACUUGACGAUAACGUCAUAAACUUUAUAAUUGGUAGUUUGAUUGGGGCGAUUGCCACCUAAAUCGUAACGGUGGUGUGCAAAGGUAGACUCUAGUUAUACAGAACAUAACUAUAGAAUGUAAUGGUUUAAGUCUGCCUGAUUGUUAGAUUUACAAAUCAAACAAGAACGCAAGUUUGCCAUAGUGACCCGGUAUUUCUUAGUGGUAAGAAUAUCGAUUAACGAAUAAAAGCUACGCUGGGGAUAACAGGCUGAUAAUUCCCAAGAGUCCAUAUCUACGGAAUUGUUUGGCACCUCGAUGUCGGCUCAUCACAUCCUAGAGCUGAAAAAGGUUCUAAGGGUUUAGCUGUUCGCUAAUGAAAGUGGUACGUGAGCUGGGUUCAGAACGUUGUGAAACAGUUCGGUCCCUAUCUACUAUUAAUAAAGAAAAUCAAUAUAAACUUUCUUCUAGUACGAAAGGACUGAAGAAAGCACACCUCUGGUGUAUGAAUUGUCUUUUCAUAGGCAUAGUUUAGUAGCUACGUGUGUUCAAAUAACUGUUGAUAUCAUAUAAAUAGGAAGUUGAUAUAUUAUGAUUCUCUAUGAGGGAGGUUAAAGAUUAUGACUGUAAUAGGUUAAAAGUGUAAGUGCAGUAAUGUAUUUAGCUAAUUAAUACUAAUAAGCCCAAUAAUAUGUAGUUGUAA
rnacentral:rRNA from 1 species